rnacentral:misc_RNA from 1 species
UGUGAGAGGGGGCUUGCUCCCGAUGGCGGUCUUUCAGCUGAAUCUUUUUUGGCUGGCGCAUCGCUAUCGGGAGCAAGCCCCCUCCCACA